CGCUAGCACGAUAUUGUCCGCUGCAACCACCGCGUGUUAUCAUCUUCAGAUCCGCCGUCGUUUGAGUCGCGAACAGGGGAACGCGCGCGAAGGAAACUGUCGCGGAGCUGCCGUUGCCGCCGGGUUGAUGGGCUCGCCGUCGUUCUGCUCGCGUGGCUGCUGCGUUGCCGGAGCUCCUCGUCGCUGCUGCUGGCGCCGGAAACCGCCUUUCAAGCUUAUAUCUGUUGGGAGGAGUCCGAGCAAGAAAAGGAAGAAGGUGGCGAUGGAUACCUCCGCCGCUGCUGCUGUUACUAUCAGUGUUCUGGAGCUUGCAGUUACUGCCGUUUUUGGGUGAUGAACCUGGUUGUGUCCUUGCUGCUGAUUGAUUGUAGUGAGAGACGUUGUAGCCACUACUUUUCAUCUUGAGUCACUAUUGUCAUAUCUCGGCGCUGCCGCCCUUGUUUGGAACUACUGAAUGUUGUUGUCUCU